CUUAGUAAACAAAAGACUGCACACACGCAAUAGAUAGCGAGAUAUAAGUUUUGGCUAGCUAACCUUGCUAAAAAAAGUGCUAGUCAAGAUGUUUAACUUUUUCGCGUUGAGGCUCUGGAUACCAAUUUGUACCAUUUAGCUGCCUGCAGUCAUAAAGAGAAAGAGUUGCGUCAAUUGCCUUUACGUUCAUGGUACUGUACUGUAGGCUAGUUAGAACUAGAGCGAGCUAGCAUCAGUUUCAAACACAGCAGCAUCGUCGUUGAGGAACAGUUGUACUGUACUGUAUGAUGGAGUUGUGCCAAGUCUGGCAUUGCUACUGAUGUUGAUGUGAGCUGAAAAGGAGGCCCAGUGCCUUGGAGGUGGAUGUCAGACCACUGGACGAAGGAGCGCUGGAUGGGAGACCACUAGUUGAAGGAGCGCUGGAUGG